rnacentral:rRNA from 1 species
AGCGAACGCUGGCGGCAGGCUUAACACAUACAAGUCGAGCGCCCCGCAAGGGGAGCGGCAGACGGGAGAGUAACACGUGGGAACAUACCUUUUGGUUCGGAACAACUGAGGGAAACUUCAGCUAAUACCGGAUAAGCCCUUACGGGGAAAGAUUUAUCGCCGAAAGAUUGGCCCGCGUCUGAUUAGCUAGUUGGUGAGGUAACGGCUCACCAAGGCGACGAUCAGUAGCUGGUCUGAGAGGAUGAUCAGCCUCACUGGGACUGAGACACGGCCCAGACUCCUACGGGAGGCAGCAGUGGGGAAUAUUGGACAAUGGGGGCAACCCUGAUCCAGCCAUGCCGCGUGAGUGAUGAAGGCCUUAGGGUUGUAAAGCUCUUUUGCCCGGGAAGAUAAUGACGGUACCGGGAGAAUAAGCCCCGGCUAACUUCGUG